GGUCUGCUCGCCAGGAACGGAGGCCACUCAUGCGCCGAAGGACUGGCCAGUGAGCACGAGCAGACCAACCAAACCGGCCUGCCGUCUCUCUCCCUUUGUGUGCAGGUGGAACCCGUUUACUGGGCCAAGCCCAAGAAACCGUUUUGGUCCCAUCCACCACGGCCUCUCUGCACAAGCACCCAGCCUCGCCGAGUGGCCAGGACUCCACGACGCUCUCGACCCUACUGCCUGCGUCCCUGCCACACCAAACCUAGCAUCACCGUCGCUAGUUCGCAUCGCCCUCCCUGCACCACGCGCACCCUGCCCUCUUGCCGUCGUAGCCGGGAACUUGACGAGCAGAGGCCGCCGAUGCCGCCUCCACCUCAUCGCAUGCCUGCCCUGCCUGCCAUGCGUUUGCCCUAACGUCACUAGCCCUGUCGUGCCUCGCACCCUCCUGCACAACAUCUAGUGCCUCUGCCCAGAGACAGAACGCCGCCCCUGAUCGCUCUCCUCGAAACAGACCACCGACGCCUCCGUCCGGAUCAAACCUCGGCCACCACGAUGCGUGUCCGCCAUGGGCAAAGAACCGCAGGAGAUUUGAAGCACCAGAGCUCCGGCGGCCAUGAACGGGAGGGAGAAAGCCAUUAUCUUUUUUCAAAGGAACACGGUUUGAGAGCUAAGAAGAUGAAGAGUUGGAAGAAUAAGAGCUGAAGACUCUGAGCAGUUAUUAUUUGGAUUUAAGGCAAGUAUAUUUCAUGAUCAUAUUUGGUCCUAAUAACAUUUACUUUAUGCUUGCAUGUAUUAAAUUAAUGGGUACCAAUUAUCAUGUUUGUUUAUUCAUGUCCUUGAAUAGCCGAGUUUCUUUUAUAAAAUCUUUUGGAUAGUUUGCUUA